rnacentral:rRNA from 1 species
AACUUUCAACAACGGAUCUCUUGGCUCUCGUAUCGAUGAAGAACGCAGCGAAAUGCGAUAAGUAAUGUGAAUUGCAGAAUUCAGUGAAUCAUCGAAUCUUUGAACGCACAUUGCGCCCCUUGGUAUUCCUUGGGGCAUGCCUGUUCGAGCGUCC